GGUGCUGGCCUGCAAGACACAGAACUGUGGCUCGUAAGGGAGACCUCCUGAACCUUAGCGAAUUUUCUGUUCCUGGAGGUUAACCUUUCAGUAGAGAACACACAAAUCUAUGAAAAGUAAAAGUUAUGCAAAUAUUGCCCCUCGGGGCCUCUUUCCCCACAGCUUCCCUACAGUCACUUAACAGCCCCUCCCCACCAGCCCUGCACAGACACACAGCUGGCUGGUCCAUUCUGCAACCCCUCCCUCCACCAGAGUGACUGCUCACCCAGGUCCCUCUUUCAGCUCCUUCUUCAAAUCUCAUUCUGAUUGAAGGCCCAGAUCAAGCCACAUUAUCUGCGAGGAACGUGGUCUCUGGUUACGUGAAUGCAAGACCAGUGGUUACCAACGUCAGCAACAACUCGCCUGGGGGACAUUCAACAGUAGGAGCUGAGGACCUGUACCUCCCACUGGCACAGACCCACUUUCUGCUUCGUGGUCAAAGUUUUGGUAUGUGUGGUGGCCACUACCCACAGACUGGGAGCUCUCAGAGGGCAAGGAGAUCCCACUGGACACAACUGUGUCCCCACCUUGGUUGGACUAGGGCAUAGGGACACAACACGGGUAUCCAGGACCUGCUGGCUGAGUGGGUGUAGUCAUUUCUGGGGGGUGGCAGGGAGGGAAGUGAGGGGAGGGAAGAGGAGGCUGGGGCUGAGCAGUUCAUGUCUAGACCAGUGGUUGGAGUCAGCAGAGCGCGAUCAGACUGGCGGUGCUGCUGGCGGGGAACAGCCCCAUGAGCUGCCCAGGGGCUUCAGGACUGACUUUCAAGUUCUGGGCUUGAAAAGGAGUGGGAGUGGGGGUGCCUCUGGUGCACGAAUUGGAGUCAGCUGGGCUUCCCCGCCACCACCUGCACUCAGCCUGAGGCUGGAGGCUGAGUGAGGGCUGAGCUGCGGAGGCAGGUCCCAGCCUGGGGGUGCAGCCGCCAUUAGCUGGGGCUGGGGGUGGAGAUGGGGACUCUGGGUUUCGUUUGGCUGGGAGCUGGCAGGGAAGCAGGUGGCAAAGCCUGAGUGAGUGAGUAACCGCCUCCCCGGAGCAGUCAAUCUUGCCGCCCCAGGAAGUCCCACAGACACGCUGCACACCCCCCCCCCCGCCCACGCCGAGACCUUCUCUCUGCACACGCCCACCCCCGCUCUGCCUCCAGCUCGCUCUCCGGGCCGCGGCGCCCCGGCACCCUUGACCCCAUCGUGGAAGCCCACACCGGCCCCCCGGCCCCCAGGCCCCCAGGCCCCCCUCUCCUGUCGGUCCUCCCUUCAUCCCUUGCCCCACCGCGUCAGCCGCCCCUCCAUCCCCACCGCCGGCAGACCCUUCAGAAUCCGGGAAGAAGCUCCCAGCGCUCCGCCCAGCUCCCUGGGUGUCGGGAGGGGCGGUCCCGGAGGGGGAGUUGCCCGGGUGAGUUUGCGGAGUUUGGAGCGGCGUCGCCCUCUGCUGGGCAGAUCCGGGAACUGCUUCGCCUCCGCCGUCCCGUCCAUUUCCCUGCCCCUAGACCGCCUGCUUUCGGACCCUCCUUCACUUUUCUGCCUUCUCCCUUUUUCCCACGACCUGACCCCUGCAAGAUUCCGACUAUAUAGACAGAUGUCGGUCCUGGUUCCAGCUAUGUUACAGGCUGUCUGCAGCAGAGUCGCAGCAUCCCUGAGAUUUGGCUUCCUUCCCUGUGAAAUAGCAGUCAUGAAGUCCAAAUGCCUCACAGUGAAAGAAGACACUUUGUAAACUGAAAGGGAGCAUCUGAAGAUGAGGUGUGGUGGUGGUUAAUGCUAAAGGCGUUCUCUCCAGCCUUCUCCCUGGCCCUGGCCCACAGCCGGAGGAGAGGAAUAAUUCAUCCCUUGGGAUCACCACAUUUUGAUGCAUUGCCUUUCAGUCUUUUAAAAAAAUUAUAUUUAUAUGUAUGUAUUUAUAUAUAUUUAAUACAAAUGUGACCAUACUCUGCAUGCUGUUUUAUGUCCUUUCUUUUUUUUUUUUUUUUUUUCUUUCCAAGUGAACAAAUCAUGGUAAAAGCCUGGCUUCUGGAAUCAGACAAAUCUGGAUUCAAGUCCUUGCUCUGUGACUGCAUUUCCAUCCUUGGGCACACCACAUACCCUUCACUUUUCUCAGCCUCAGUUUUCUCCUCUGCACAAUGGUGAUCAUGUCAGGAAUACCCACUUCACAGGCUUGUGGUAAAGCCCUGGGCAGAGCCAGCUCAGAACCUGUUAGAUCUCUUUUCCAGCUUCCUGUGUUUUGAGCAGGACUACACUCCAGCCACCUGAUUCUCCGAGCGUGUAUGGCAUUCUCCCUCUACACAUGCCCUAAUGGUUCCCUGAAUCUCCAAGAAGCAGGGUCUAACCGGAAAGAUAGCUCAAGAAUCAAGGGCGCCUAUCCCUAACUACAUUGCAUUCCCCACAGAAGUGGCUGGACCAGAUUUGGGGUGUAAAGUCCCAAACAAGCUUCCCUCGAAUUUCGGAUUUCGGACCCCUCUUCUUCCUCAGCCCGGGGCAGGGGGGCAUCCUGGCAAAGAGGUCUAUUUGCACACACCAGAUUCAAAGGAAGCGAACGCCCAAUGACUGAUUUGCAUACUCUCGUACUAUUGGUUGGAAGGGAGGCACACUAGCCAAUGCUUUGCAGCGGUGUUUACCGAGCGGCGGCUGAGCGCCGCCGGGUGAUGUAAUGGAAUCCUGGCUGGACCCAGCACGGACUCCCUCCGGUCCGCCUUGUGACGUACCCAGCGGCUUCCCCGGGCUCCACCCGGCCCAGCCUGGCCUGGCGCGGGGCAGCGCGGCCGCCCCCGGGAACGCGGCGUGGGGCGCAGCCGAGGCCGCAGCGCUGCAGUGGGGCCCGGCCCUGUUCCUUCCGGCCCGGCGUUCCGGUCCUGGCCCCUCGGGGAGGGCCCGCGGGGCCAGAUCUGAUCUCUGGCGACGUGGAGAAAGAAAUCUUGAAGCCGACAGCAGAGGAUUACCAAACUCAACUCUUCUAGGGGUGGAUUACCGUCCUCUCACUUCGUAAAUCACACAGUUCUAUAACUUUUUGCAUUUGUUUACAGCGAGCCUGUUGAUUUUGUAAUUAAAACAAAAAGUUACAAAGAAUUUCUGUUUGUUUUUAGUAAAGAGCCUGGCUUGGAUUUAGGAGAAAUCUUGUCAUUAAUUUCAGUUCUGUCACUUCCAGCCUGGUGA